GACGAACGCUGGCGGCGUGCUUAACACAUGCAAGUCGUACGGUAAGGCCCUUUCGGGGGUACACGAGUGGCGAACGGGUGAGUAACACGUGAGUAACCUGCCCACAACUUUGGGAUAACGCUAGGAAACUGGUGCUAAUACUGGAUAUGUGCUCCUGCUGCAUGGUGGGGGUUGGAAAGCUCCGGCGGUUGUGGAUGGACUCGCGGCCUAUCAGCUUGUUGGUGGGGUAGUGGCCUACCAAGGCGGCGACGGGUAGCCGGCCUGAGAGGGUGACCGGCCACAUUGGGACUGAGAUACGGCCCAGACUCCUACGGGAGGCAGCAGUAGGGAAUAUUGCACAAUGGGCGCAAGCCUGAUGCAGCAACGCCGCGUGCGGGAUGACGGCCUUCGGGUUGUAAACCGCUUUCAGCAGGGACGAAGCUUUUUGUGACGGUACCUGCAGAAGAAGCACCGGCUAACUACGUG
rnacentral:rRNA from 1 species